GCCUUUUCUCAGGGGAGAGGCCGUCACUUAGAGAUGCGGACUCUCCUGCUCCUUCUCCUGGGACGAGGCUCUGUGCUUGCUGUGCUCAUCUCUCAAACGCCGAGCAGGGCUAUCUGUCAACGUGGAACCUCGGUGAUGAUCCAGUGUCAAGUCGAUAGCCAAGUCAACUUCAUGUUCUGGUACCGUCAGCUCCCGGGGCAGAGCUUGAUGCUGAUGGCAACUGCAAACCAGGGCUCUGAGGCCACAUACGAGAGCGGAUUUACCAAGGACAAGUUUCCCAUCAGCCGCCCAGAGCUAACAUUCUCAAACAUGACCGUGAGCAACGUGAGCCCCGAAGACAGCAGCUUAUACCUCUGCAGCGCUGGAGACACAGGCUGUGCGAACACCGGGCAGCUGUACUUUGGCAACGGCUCCAAGCUGACCGUGCUGGAGGACCUGAAAAAGGUGACCCCACCCAAGGUGGCUGUGUUUGAACCCUCGGAAGCAGAGAUCUCCCGCACCCAGAAAGCCACGCUCGUGUGCCUGGCCACAGGCUUCUACCCCGACCACGUGGAGCUGAGCUGGUGGGUGAACGGGAAGGAGGUGCAGAGCGGGGUCAGCACGGACCCCCAGCCCUACAAGGAGCAGCCCGGCCUCAACGACUCCACCUACUGCCUGAGCAGCCGCCUGAGGGUAUCGGCCACCUUCUGGCACAAUCCCCGCAACCGCUUCCGCUGCCAAAUCCGGUUCUACGGGCUCACAGAGGAAGACGAGUGGACCCAGGAUACACCCAAACCCAUCACCCAGAAUAUCAUUGCUGAGGCCUGGGGCAGAGCAGACUGUGGCUUCACCUCGGUGUCCUACCAGCAAGGGGUCCUGUCUGCCACCAUCCUCUACGAGAUCCUGCUGGGGAAGGCCACCGUGUAUGCUGUGCUGGUCAGCGCCCUCGUGCUGAUGGCCAUGGUCAAGAGAAAGGACUCCUGAGGCCAGCUCCAAAAGUACAUCCUGAGUCGUUCUUCAUCCUCACCUGGGAUUCUCCUGUACCUGCUCCCAACUGUGUCCCUAAAGAGUUACUGUGUCUCCACCUCUCAUCCCCUUCCUACAUGGACAUCUGUCCUUUUUCUCUGUCUCCCCGCAGAUGGAGCUCCCAACCCCCAAGUCUGUAACAGACUAAAGCAAUAAACAUGGCGUGCUGGGCCUGGCUGUUUCA